AUUUCUUGCAAUCUAAUUAGCCAUUGCAGUUUUGGAGUGGCUGGUCUUUAUUCUUGAGUUAAUAGAAUAUUACUGAUAUACAUCAAUCUUGUUAAAUAGAACAUUUGUCAGAUGCUGGUCGUAGCCUUGUUUGUCGUAAAUUUAUGAUCAUAGGUAUAUGCACUUGCCUUUAACUGUUCUAAUUGCCCCUUCACAGUUCAUAUGAUUGGAGUGAGCAAGCCUUGCAAGGUCAUAAUAGCAUCAUUGAGCAAGCCUAUGACUGUCAAUAGUUAUCCCAUCCAAGCCUCUGGCUUUCAUCAGGCCUUAUGUAUUGAGGCGCCUGUUUUACAAUCUCGUGUUCUUGAAGUCCAAUUCGUUUUAGUUGUUAGUAAUCAUUAAUCAAUGCAUUUUUUUGGCUACAUGAAAUCUUUUUUGCUAGCAGUUUAUCGACAAUGGUACAUCUAUUGAGAAAGUCAGAUGCACUUCUUAAUGCAUUAUGAUGCCAUUUUCAGAUCUCUUGACACUGACUACGAGCUCACUACUUCUAGUUCAUUUAUAUAGGGUUGGUUUGACCUUUGUCCAUUUACAAAUAAAUUAACAAUAC